rnacentral:misc_RNA from 1 species
AGCAGCCGCGGUAAUUCCAGCUCCAAUAGCGUAUAUUAAAGUUGUUGCAGUUAAAAAGCUCGUAGUUGAACCUUAGGCCCGUGCGGGUGGUCCGUCCUCUGGGCGAGCACUGCGUCGUCGCGGGUCUCACCUUCUGGCGAGCGUGGAUGCCAUUCACUUGGUGUCCGCGGGAACCAGGACCUUUACCUUGAAAAAAUUAGAGUGCUCAAAGCGGGCUCGUACGCUUGAAUACAUUAGCAUGGAAUAAUGAAAUAGGACGACGGUUCUAUUUUGUUGGUUUCCGGGACAGUCGUAAUGAUUAAUAGGGAUAGUUGGGGGCAUUCGUAUUCAAUUGUCAGAGGUGAAAUUCUUGGAUUUAUUGAAGACGAACUACUGCGAAAGCAUUUGCCAAGGAUGUUUUCAUUAAUCAAGAACGAAAGUUGGGGGAUCGAAGACGAUCAGAUACCGUCGUAGUCUCAACCAUAAACUAUGCCGACUGGGAAUCGGGCGAUGUUAUUUUUUUGUGACUCGCUCGGCGCCCCGAG